CUUGAUAAUAUAUAAGAGGUCCAGCCUGCCCAGUGACUCUGUUCAACGGCCGCGGUAUCCUAACCGUGCGAAGGUAGCGUAAUCACUUGUUCUUUAAAUGAGGACUAGUAUGAAUGGCAUUACGAGGGUUAUACUGUCUCCUUUUCCUAAUCAGUGAAACUAAUCUCCCCGUGAAGAAGCGAGGAUGAACAUAUAAGACGAGAAGACCCUAUGGAGCUUUAAACUUCCAGCAAUUAUCUUUUUUAUACCAACCUUAAGGUAAUCAAAUUAACUUUAAUACCAUGUCUGUUAGUUUUCGGUUGGGGUGACCGCGGAGUAAAACUCACCCUCCGCAAUGGAUACUGCAUUUAAGCAACAAACUACAAUUUUAUGCAUCAAAAAAUUGACACUAUUGACCCAACAUUUUGAUCAACGAAC
rnacentral:rRNA from 1 species